rnacentral:rRNA from 1 species
UACGUAGGGGGGCAAGCGUUGUCCGGAUUUAUUGGGCGUAAAGAGCGUGUAGGCGGCCAUACAGGUCCGUUGUGAAAACUGGAGGCUUAACCUCCAGACGUCGAUGGAAACCGUAUGGCUAGAGUCCGGAAGAGGAGAGUGGAAUUCCUGGGUGUAGCGGUGAAAUGCGCAGAUAUCAGGAAGAACACCCGUGGCGAAGGCGGCUCUCUGGGACGGUACUGACGCUGAGACGCGAAAGCGUGGGGAGCGAACAGG